UACGUAGGAGGCGAGCGUUGUCCGGAAUUACUGGGCGUAAAGAGCGCGUAGGCGGCGCGACACGACCGGUGUGAAAGCCCCCGGCUCAACCGGGGAGGGUCAUCGGUAACGGUCGUGCUACGAGUGCAGGAGAGGGACGUGGAACUCCGGGAGUAGCGGUGAAAUGCGUAGAGACCCGGAGGAACACCAGUGGCGAAGGCGGCGUCCUGGCCUGCGACUGACGCUGUGGCGCGAAAGCUAGGGGAGCGAACGGG
rnacentral:rRNA from 1 species